UACGAAGGGAGCUAGCGUUGUUCGGAAUCACUGGGCGUAAAGCGCACGUAGGCGGAUUUGCCAGUCAGGGGUGAAAUCCCGGGGCUCAACCUCGGAACUGCCUUUGAUACAGCAAGUCUUGAGUUCGAGAGAGGUGGGUGGAAUUCCUAGUGUAGAGGUGAAAUUCGUAGAUAUUCGGAAGAACACCAGUGGCGAAGGCGACUUACUGGACGACUGUUGACGCUGAGGUGCGAAAGCGUGGGGAGCAAACAGG
rnacentral:rRNA from 1 species